rnacentral:rRNA from 1 species
AACCGGAUUAGAUACCCUGGUAGUCCACGCCCUAAACGAUGUCUACUAGUUGUCGGGUUUUAAUUAACUUGGUAACGCAGCUAACGCGUGAAGUAGACCGCCUGGGGAGUACGGUCGCAAGAUUAAAACUCAAAGGAAUUGACGGGGACCCGCACAAGCGGUGGAUGAUGUGGAUUAAUUCGAUGCAACGCGAAAAACCUUACCUACCCUUGACAUGUACGGAAGGCCGGAGAGAUUUGGCUGUGCUCGAAAGAGAACCGUAACACAGGUGCUGCAUGGCUGUCGUCAGCUCGUGUCGUGAGAUGUUGGGUUAAGUCCCGCAACGAGCGCAACCCUUGUCAUUAGUUGCUACAUUCAGUUGAGCACUCUAAUGAGACUGCCGGUGACAAACCGGAGGAAGGUGGGGAUGACGUCAAGUCCUCAUGGCCCUUAUGGGUAGGGCUUCACACGUCAUACAAUGGUACAUACAGAGGGCCGCCAACCCGCGAGGGGGAGCUAAUCCCAGAAAGUGUAU